GAUGAACGCUGGCGGCGUGCCUAACACAUGCAAGUCGAACGAUGAACCUCUCUUGUGGGGGGAUUAGUGGCGAACGGGUGCGUAACACGUGAGUAACCUGCCCUUUACUCUGUUAUAUGCCUGGGAAACCGGGUAUAAUACUGGAUACGCCCUUCUGGCGCAUGCCAUGUUGGUGGAAAGCCUUUGUGGUUUUGGCUGGACUCGCGGCCUAUCUGCUUGUUGGUGGUGUAAUGGCCUACCAAGGCGACGACGGGUAGCCGGCCUGUGAGGGUGACCGGCCACACUGGGACUGAGACACGGCCCAGACUCCUACGGGAGGCAGCAGUGGGGAAUAGUGCACAAUGGGCGCAAGCCUGAUGCAGCGACGCCGCGUGAGGGAUGAAGGCCUUCGGGUUGUAAACCUCUUUCAGUAGGGAAGAAGCCGGCUUUUGGGUUGGUGACGGUACCUGCAGAAGAAGCGCCGGCUAACUACGUG
rnacentral:rRNA from 1 species